GUCGACAGAUCAUAGGAGAACAAAUUAUAGUUGCAAAAGGAGUAUAGAAUGAAAUAAAUAGGCAAGUAAUCGUAAAACGUAAAGGAACUUUAAAAUAUAUGAGAGCUAAUAUGUCAAUUCAACUUGUGCUGGUGACAGGCCAGUAAAGACAAGGAAAAUAUUGAUUGGGUGGGACUGUAGACAAUGGAGGACAAAGAAUGUUGAUUGUGUAGUAGGGUUGAGGGAAAAUUUUUAUUUGGACAUAUUUAAUCACGGAACUAAGCAUAUUCAAGACCUGGACAAAUCAAUAUUAUAAAUGUUAAGGGGCAAGACUAAAUGAAAUGCAUGUGUUAACCGUUUGCAUAGUUUUAAC